UACGUAGGGUGCAAGCGUUAAUCGGAAUUACUGGGCGUAAAGCGUGCGCAGGCGGCUUUGCAAGACAGAUGUGAAAUCCCCGGGCUUAACCUGGGAACUGCAUUUGUGACUGCAUGGCUGGAGUGCGGCAGAGGGGGAUGGAAUUCCGCGUGUAGCAGUGAAAUGCGUAGAUCUUGGGAAGAACACCUGUGGCGAAAGCGCUCUACUGGACCGCGACUGACACUGAUGGACGAAAGCUAGGGGAGCGAAUGGG
rnacentral:rRNA from 1 species